rnacentral:rRNA from 1 species
AGCGAACGCUGGCGGCAGGCCUAACACAUGCAAGUCGAACGAACUCUUCGGAGUUAGUGGCGGACGGGUGAGUAACACGUGGGAACGUGCCUUUUGGUUCGGAAUAACUCAGGGAAACUUGUGCUAAUACCGAAUGUGCCCUUCGGGGGAAAGAUUUAUCGCCCUUAUAGCGGCCCGAGUCUGAUUAGCUAGUUGGUGAGGUAACGGCUCACCAAGGCGAGGAUCAGUAGCUGGUCUUAGAGGAAGACCAGCCACACUGGGACUGAGCAACGGCCCAGACUACUACGGGAGGCAGCAGUGGGGAAUCUUGCGCAAUGGGCGAAAGCCUGACGCAGCCAUGCCGCGUGAAUGAUGAAGGUCUUAGGAUUGUAAAAUUCUUUCACCGGGGACGAUAAUGACGGUACCCGGAGAAGAAGCCCCGGCUAACUUCGUG